rnacentral:rRNA from 1 species
UGAGGGAUAUUGGGCAAUGGACGCAAGUCUGACCCAGCCAUGCCGCGUGGAGGAUGAAGGUCCUCUGGGUUGUAAAGCUCUUUUGGCAGGGACGAUAAUGACGGUACCUGCAGAAUAAGCCCCGGCAAACUUCGUGCCAGCAGCCGCGGUAAUACGAAGGGGGCUAGCGUUGUUCGGAUUUACUGGGCGUAAAGCGCACGUAGGCGGAUUGUUAAGUCAGGGGUGAAAUCCCGGAGCUCAACUCCGGAACUGCCUUUGAUACUGGCAAUCUUGAGGCUGGAAGAGGUUGGUAGAAUUCCCAGUGUAGAGGUGAAAUUCGUAGAUAUUGGGAAGAAUACCAGUGGCGAAGGCGGCCAACUGGUCCAGAUCUGACGCUGAGGUGCGAAAGCGUGGGGAGCAAACA